UCUGGUUGAUCCUGCCAGUAGUCAUAUGCUUGUCUCAAAGAUUAAGCCAUGCAUGUCUCAGUACAUACCAAAAUAAGGUGAAACCGCGAAAGGCUCAUUAUAUCAGUUAUGGUUCCUUAGAUCGUACACACAUUUACUUGGAUAACUGUGGUAAUUCUAGAGCUAAUACAUGCAAACAGAGUCCCGACCAGAGAUGGAAGGGAUGCUUUUAUUAGAUCAAAACCAAUCGGUGUUGCAUUUUAUUUAUUUACAUAGAUAUUAUUGUAGCAUCGUUUCUUUUGGUGACUCUGAAUAACUUUAAGCUGAUCGCACGGUCUCGUACCGGCGACGCAUCUUUCAAAUGUCUGCCUUAUCAACUUUCGAUGGUAGGUUCUGCGCCUACCAUGGUUGUAACGGGUAACGGGGAAUCAGGGUUCGAUUCCGGAGAGGGAGCCUGAGAAACGGCUACCACAUCCAAGGAAGGCAGCAGGCGCGCAAAUUACCCACUCCCGGCACGGGGAGGUAGUGACGAAAAAUAACGAUACGGGACUCAUCCGAGGCCCCGUAAUCGGAAUGAGUACACUUUAAAUCCUUUAACAAUUAACAAUUGGAGGGCAAGUCUGGUGCCAGCAGCCGCGGUAAUUCCAGCUCCAAUAGCGUAUAUUAAAGUUGUUGCGGUUAAAAAGCUCGUAGUCGAAUUUGUGCCCCACACUGUCGGUUCACCGCUCGCGGUGUUCAACUGGCAUGUUAUGUGGGGCGUCCUGCCGGUGGAGUGUACAAAUUAUUGUUAUUAUCCUAUAUAUGAUUGUAUAUUUUUGUUAGUUAGUAAAUAUUUCAAAAUAUCUUACUGCUGCAUUGUAUAGUAUCAUAUGGGUAACUAUACGUAAUUUGUCGUAAGUGUUUAGCCGUGAAGAACGGCGACAGCCUCCAAUUGCAAUCCCGUCGCGGUGCUCUUAACUGAGUGUCGAGGUGGGCCGGUACGUUUACUUUGAACAAAUUAGAGUGCUUAAAGCAGGCUAAAAUUUCGCCUGAAUAUUGUGUGCAUGGAAUAAUAAAAUAGGAUCUCGGUUCUAUUUUGUUGGUUUUCGGAACUCCGAGAUAAUGAUUAAUACGGACAGAUGGGGGCAUUCGUAUUGCGACGUUAGAGGUGAAAUUCUUGGAUCGUCGCAAGACGGACAGAAGCGAAAGCAUUUGCCAAAAAUGUUUUGAUUGAUCAAGAACGAAAGUUAGAGGUUCGAAGGCGAUCAGAUACCGCCCUAGUUCUAACCAUAAACGAUGCCAGCUAGCGAUCCGCCGAAGUUCCUCCGAUGACUCGGCGGGCAGCUUCCGGGAAACCAAAGCUUUUGGGUUCCGGGGGAAGUAUGGUUGCAAAGCUGAAACUUAAAGGAAUUGACGGAAGGGCACCACCAGGAGUGGAGCCUGCGGCUUAAUUUGACUCAACACGGGAAACCUCACCAGGCCCAGACACCGUUAGGAUUGACAGAUUGAGAGCUCUUUCUUGAUUCGGUGGGUGGUGGUGCAUGGCCGUUCUUAGUUGGUGGAGCGAUUUGUCUGGUUAAUUCCGAUAACGAACGAGACUCUAGCCUGCUAAAUAGACGUACUUUACCGGCAUCUCAAGGCCCAUCGGCUGCUAGUUUCCGAUUCGUUGUUACAUGUAUUCGGUAUUAUUAUUGUCCACUUAAUAUAUUUGAAGGUAUAUUGAUUUCGGUUUAUAUACUGGAUGUGUAUUUUGUGUUUAUAAUUUAUCGUUGCAUGUUAGAAACGGGCGGUUCUACAGUUUUUUGGUGUGGUUUUUACUGCCGGCGUACAUAUAUAUCUUCUUAGAGGGACAGGCGGCUUCUAGCCGCACGAGAUUGAGCAAUAACAGGUCUGUGAUGCCCUUAGAUGUUCUGGGCCGCACGCGCGCUACACUGAAGGAAUCAGCGUGUCCUCCCUGGCCGAAAGGUCCGGGUAACCCGCUGAACCUCCUUCGUGCUAGGGAUUGGGGCUUGCAAUUGUUCCCCAUGAACGAGGAAUUCCCAGUAAGCGCGAGUCAUAAGCUCGCGUUGAUUACGUCCCUGCCCUUUGUACACACCGCCCGUCGCUACUACCGAUUGAAUGAUUUAGUGAGGUCUUCGGACUGGUACGCGGCAAUGUUUCUGACAUUACCGAUGUUGCUGGGAAGAUGACCAAACUUGAUCAUUUAGAGGAAGUAAAAGUCGUAACAAGG
rnacentral:rRNA from 1 species